GAUCAUCUCCCCAGUACCCCAUGCCUGGCUCCCUUAAUGUUCAUAUUCCACAUUUCCUUUUUCACUAACCAGUCUCUCCAGUCUGACCUAUGCGUUUGUGUUAAUGUGUCAACAAACUUACUUUAUUUGAAAACUAGACAUUGCAUUUCAAAAUUCGUUACAGUAUAAAGAACAAGAAAUCCAUCAUUGCAAAGAUGACAAAUAUAUAACAAAAGCAUGCACUGAACUAUUCUGAUUGUUUUUUUUCCAGAAUAACAAACUCAUGAGUUGGUUCAAGUAGAUAUGCGACUAUAUCAUCGACAUCGAUAUAACAAUAUAUAUUCAUUGGUCCAUUUCCAAACAACCAGAAUAUAUACUUAUGUGAAGCAGAGAGGGCACCAUGGCGAAGGUGAGGUGGGCAUCAUCCAGUUUUAAAGGGGAGGGCUCCAGCAAAAAAUGUACCGCUACAGCGAGAAACCGAGCUAGAAAGGGAGCGUCCAGCAGAAAAAUGGCAGGGUGCGUCGGGGGGUGGCAUUUUGCAGAAUGGUCUGGGGAGGUUCGCAACAUUGUCUACUCAUCUGAUGGGAAAAUCUCUAUCUGUUGCGUAUCGUGUGACUAUGGAACUGAUGCAGAGUUUGUAGGUCCUACUAUUUGAUCAGUGGAUGUGACUGAUGGGGGCAUGGAGAUGAUGGAGAGGCAUCGUGCUGUGGUGGCGGUGAUGAAGGUAACCUCGUCGAUGGCGGCGGCGACGGGUGGCUGUUGACGAAAGCGAUUCGGGGAUGGGGGAUGUGAGUGGCAAGGGAUGGAGGCGUAGAACUGCAGCCGGGGAGACGGAGUGGCGGCAAGAUUGGACGAGCUCGCCUGCAGUGCGUGGGCAAGAUUUCCUUUCCGGGUCAAACGAGGGCUUCCUUCUGUGUGUAUGUGUUUGUGUGUGUGUGCGCGCACACAUGCGUGAGUUCAUACUGAUAUUCCACUAAGUACAGCGCAUGCUUUACUGAAAUUCUAGACAAAAGUUCACAUCCGGUUGGUACAGGGAUUCUACGGAUGUUCUCCCAUAACCUCUUGAAGUGAUGCAAUGCGACGAUCUUCAACCAUGAAAAUGAAACUACCAGCGUGGACGGAAACUGCCAGCAUGGACGGCCUACUCCUAUGAUCUCACAGGUUCUUGCUUACACUGGGAAUGAUGAGACUAACAAGUUUUUCCUUGGAGGUGAGAUGUCACUUGACAACACGAAGGUGCCAAAGGCAUCUGAUAAAACUCAGGUGAAGGCGAAGGAGGUUUGGCUCUCAGACAUGCGUAACACUCGAUGAUAACGACGUGCAGACUGUUUGUAUGAAUAAGGACGAAGUAGUAUUUCAUGGGUUAUCCCUGAUUUCCCCUCUUAGGAAAGUAUGGAUCCCAAGUUCAAAGCCAUAUCCAAUUAGUUUGUCUCUCAAAAAAAAGAUACAACAAAUGCUAAAGGAUGAUUUACCCAUGGAGGCAUGGACCGAGAUUGCUUUAAUUUGGUCGUACGGAAGAUUAUGUUUGAUGACAUCCAAAUGGCACAAAAAACAAAACAAUUGAUAGAGAAACAUUAUCUGGACAUGAAAUUUUGGACUUGCUUGCUGGUGGCUGGUGCCCUGCAGGGACCAGGUGGUGCGGUCGGCCGCGGUGCCGCCGCCACCGUCGUUGCAGCAGCUAGGCCGGGAGUAGCCGAGCAGGGGAGAAGCUUAAUUGUUUUCUAUAUUCUGCUCCUCCCACCGACCAGUUGAGGGUUGGAGUCAUCGGCCAGCGCCGUCAGGCGUCAGCUAAGUUAAAGAAUUGAGAAUUGGACGACUGGCCGGUUCGUACGGGUGGGCUGCUCUUAGUGCUCUGCCGAUUUGGCCUUCAGAUUGUUGCCUGCUUAACUGCUUGUGGGAUGUAUAAGAACAAAAAACAGUGCAAAAAAUUACAAAUGAAAUUUAACAUUUCAAAAAAAUGUUCAUCACCAUAAAAAUGAUAACUUUUUAAAAAUAUUCUCGAAUUUUUAUUUA